CAGUGCAGAACUGCUCCCUGGAUGAUGGGGGGGCUCCCAAGAACUGCUCCAAAAAUGUUUCCCUCUCCACAUUGGCCGUGUUGAGCUCUUCCCCGAGAACGCAUCCCUGCUGCUGCGGGACCUGCGGCUCAGUGACAGCGGGGUGUACACCGUCAGCUUCUUAGAAAAGACAAAGCAGGCACAUCACCCUGACCGUGCUCGAGCAGCCUGUCCCCACAGAUCCUACCAGCGAAGGCACUUCUCAAACAGCAGGAAGAAUAGCCACACGCAUCCCUUGCUGCAUCCUCAGAGGCUGCUACUGCUUCAUCCUGCUGCUCCUGCAGCUGCUCUUCCACCUGUGCUGGCUGCGGGGCAGCCGUGGGGAAGCCUGCGGCUGCUGCUGGGGAGAAGGGAGCCAGCGUGCGGGAGCAGCCAGGGCCGGGGCACAAUGAAGUGCCCACAGUGCCCAGGCACAAGGAAGGCGCUCAGCUGCUGCCUCGGGGCUGCUUUUCCCUCUGGCACCUGCCCCUCUGCUGGACAAACCGGGCUCCCGGCCCCUGCCUGCCCCCAGUGCACAACCACUCCCCACGCUCACAUACCCCUGCUCUGAAAUUCCUGCUCCCAAUUCAAACACCAAAUAAACACCUUUCCUCUGGCC